CCUACGGGAGGCAGCAGUGAGGAAUAUUGGUCAAUGGACGAGAGUCUGAACCAGCCAAGUAGCGUGAAGGAUGACUGCCCUAUGGGUUGUAAACUUCUUUUAUAUGGGAAUAAAAUGUUCCACGUGUGGGAUUUUGUAUGUACCAUAUGAAUAAGGAUCGGCUAACUCCGUGCCAGCAGCCGCGGUAAUACGGAGGAUCCGAGCGUUAUCCGGAUUUAUUGGGUUUAAAGGGAGCGUAGGUGGAUUGUUAAGUCAGUUGUGAAAGUUUGCGGCUCAACCGGAAAAUUGCAGUUGAUACUGGCAGUCUUGAGUACAGUAGAGGUGGGCGGAAUUCGUGGUGUAGCGGUGAAAUGCUUAGAUAUCACGAAGAACUCCGAUUGCGAAGGCAGUUCACUGGACUGCAACUGACACUGAGGCUCGAAAGUGUGGGUAUCAAACAGGAUUAGAUACCCGGGUAGUC
rnacentral:rRNA from 1 species